UCUUUUCAAAGGUCAGCAUAAGCAUAUGGUAUAAAAGAUUCAAAAACACAAUUCCACAUUACUUUUUAUUUAAUGAAUAUGUAUCAUAUAAGCAUUAGUCAGGAUUCUCAAACUGUUUUUACUGAAUUAAGAUGAAAGGUCCAAAUAUGAUGUGAUUUUGAAGGAUUAAUCUCUGUUAGGAUAAGGUAGUGAUUUUCACAACAGAUGUACUGCCAGAAUUUUUAAAACAUGCAAUACCUGACUAUUUAGUCAGGCACACUGAGCUUUUCCCCCAAUAUUGUCAAAUAAAAAAAUUACAACAGCCAACACAAAAUAGCUGUCCAGUGUGAAUGUCCUGUAUUGAACCAUAAAUAUGUAGGUAUUAUAUAAUAGAGUUGCACCUUAUUGGUCACACUGCAUUGUAAAGUUGCGUCUGAUUGGUUAUUUCUUGGUACCAGAAAUCCUUACAUACAAGUACAGGUAUCCGACUUUUU